UACAGAGGCUGCAAGCGUUAUUCGGAUUCACUGGGCGUAAAGGGUGCGCAGGCGGUCGGGUGUGUCAGAUGUGAAAUCCCGAGGCUCAACCUCGGAACUGCGUCUGAAACUACUCGACUAGAGUACUGGAGAGGGUAACGGAAUUCACGGUGUAGCAGUGAAAUGCGUAGAUAUCGUGAGGAACACCAGAGGCGAAGGCGGUUACCUGGACAGUUACUGACGCUCAGGCACGAAAGCAUGGGGAGCAAAAGGG
rnacentral:rRNA from 1 species